rnacentral:lncRNA from 1 species
GGAAUUGCUGACAUAUUCUAUUGUUGAACCAUUUUUUUAGGCUUUCUUCAUCUCUCACUACACAAAUCUCUUUUUCUUCCAAGUAAGUUAUUCCAUUGUUGUUGUGUCUUUUUCUUUUUCCAUUCCACCAUUUCUUUUUCUCUACUGAUUUUCUUGUUUUCUUUUUGUCCUACAUAGUUCUUCCAUUUUUACAAAUCAACCUAUCUGCUCGCCGAUCAAGUCCAAACCCACCAGCAGGAACGAGAUCCCCUGGAACAGCAAGAAGUAGAAAUGGAUACCUUGUGCAGACAGAAGGCUCCGUGCUGAUGCGGUUAGGAGGAGGAAAGCCAAUGCGAGCUCUUUUGUGUAUAUUCUGUUGUGCUUCUUUCGUAAAGCAGCUUUCUUCUCUUGCUUCUGAAUUUCUUCUUUCAGCUCUUCUAGGUCGGGCGCCG